rnacentral:tRNA from 1 species
CUGUAGCUCAUUGGUUAGAGCGCACCCCUGAUAGGGUGAGGUCGGCAGUUCGAAUCUGCCCAGACCCACCAAUUGUUGGUGUGCUGCGUGAUCCGAUACGGGGCCAUAGCUCACUGGGAGAGCGCCUGCUUUGCACGCAGGAGGUCAGGAUUUCGAUCCUCCUUGGCUCCACCAUCUAAACAAUCGUCGAAAGCUCAUAAAUGAAUGUUCGUGAAUGAACAUUGAUUCUGGUCUUUGCACCAAACUGUUCUUUAAAAAUUCGGGUAUGUGAUAGAAGUAAGACUGAAUGAUCUCUUUCACUGGUGAUCAUUCAAGUCAAGGUAAAAUUUGCGAGUUCAAGCGCGAAUUUUCGGCGAAUGUCGUCUUCACAGUAUAACCAGAUUGCU